rnacentral:rRNA from 1 species
CCCGUAAUCCGGGUUGCGGACAGUGUCUGGUGGGUAGUUUGACUGGGGCGGUCUCCUCCUAAAGAGUAACGGAGGAGCACGAAGGUUGGCUAAUCCUGGUCGGACAUCAGGAGGUUAGUGCAAUGGCAUAAGCCAGCUUGACUGCGAGCGUGACGGCGCGAGCAGGUGCGAAAGCAGGUCAUAGUGAUCCGGUGGUUCUGAAUGGAAGGGCCAUCGCUCAACGGAUAAAAGGUACUCCGGGGAUAACAGGCUGAUACCGCCCAAGAGUUCAUAUCGACGGCGGUGUUUGGCACCUCGAUGUCGGCUCAUCACAUCCUGGGGCUGAAGUAGGUCCCAAGGGUAUGGCUGUUCGCCAUUUAAAGUGGUACGCGAGCUGGGUUUAGAACGUCGUGAGACAGUUCGGUCCCUAUCUGCCGUGGGCGCUGGAGAACUGAGGGGGGCUGCUCCUAGUACGAGAGGACCGGAGUGGACGCAUCACUGGUGUUCGGGUUGUCAUGCCAAUGGCACUGCCCGGUAGCUAAAUGCGGAAGAGAUAAGUGCUGAAAGCAUCUAAGCACGAAACUUGCCCCGAGAUGAGUUCUCCCUGACCCUUUAAGGGUCCUGAAGGAACGUUGAAGACGACGACGUUGAUAGGCCGGGUGUGUAAGCGCAGCGAUGCGUUGAGCUAACCGGUACUAAUGAACCGUGAGGCUUAACCUUACAACGCCGAAGCUGUU